AUCAUUUUUUCUUUAUCAAAGGCCAGGUGCAGUAACUGCAGCAAGUAACCAUGAAUCCCCCUCUCCUCUCUCCCACAUGCUUUCCAAGGGGACCAGAAUUUUUACACACAUGACAAACCAAACCAAACCAGACCACUUCUGAAUUUGCACCAAAUUAUUGGAGAUCUCUUCAAGAGCAAAGAUCAAUGAGUUUGUGGUGGGGUGUCCCUUAUCUCAUCCUCUCCUUGCAUGCAGAAGUUCUUGCAGCCAAAUGGAAAUGACAAGAACACACACAAACACACACACACACACACACAAAAGAAAUGAGAGGAAAAAUGUCAAUCAAGAUGUGCAGCAACAGCAGUAAACUGAAUUGGCAUUG
rnacentral:lncRNA from 1 species